rnacentral:rRNA from 1 species
UACGGAGGGUGCAAGCGUUAUCCGGAUUCACUGGGUUUAAAGGGAGCGUAGGUGGGUUGGUAAGUCAGUGGUGAAAUCCCCGAGCUUAACUUGGGAACUGCCAUUGAUACUAUCAGUCUUGAAUACUGUGGAGGUUAGCGGAAUAUGUCAUGUAGCGGUGAAAUGCUUAGAUAUCGGGAGGAACACCAGGGGCGAAGGCGGCGCACUGGACAGCAACUGACACUCAACUGCGAAAGCGUGGGGAGCAAACAGG